rnacentral:rRNA from 1 species
GUGGGGAAUAUUGGGCAAUGGGCGAAAGCCUGACCCAGCAACGCCGCGUGAAGGAAGAAGGUCUUCGGAUCGUAAACUUCUAUCCUUGGUGAAGAUAAUGACGGUAGCCGAGAAGGAAGCCCCGGCUAACUACGUGCCAGCAGCCGCGGUAAUACGUAGGGGGCAAGCGUUGUCCGGAAUGAUUGGGCGUAAAGGGCGCGUAGGCGGCCUGGUAAGUCUGGAGUGAAAGUCCUGCUUUUAAGGUGGGAAUUGCUUUGGAUACUGUCGGGCUUGAGUGAUGGAGAGGCAGGCGGAAUUCCGUGUGUAGCGGUGAAAUGCGUAGAUAUACGGAGGAACACCAGUGGCGAAGGCGGCCUGCUGGACAUUAACUGACGCUGAGGCGCGAAAGCGUGGGGAGCAAACAGGAUUAGAAACCCUUGUAGUCC